rnacentral:sRNA from 1 species
GAAAAAAAAAAGUGUGGAUAAACAUUUAGCCUCUCUCUCUCUCUCUCUCUCUCUGUGAGUCUUAUUCAGGAGGAGAAGGGUCUGAAUUAUAAAAUUAAGGAGGAAGACGGAGAGAAAGAUGGCGGUGGAGCUGUUUGUGUUGGGGUGCACCGGAGUUGUGGUGUUCUUUCACGGAGCCAGUUUCUUGUUCCACCUUCUUACCCAACACCUUGCUGUUCGAUCUCUCAGUUUUCUGGGAUUUGUUGGGUGGUAGACAAAGAAAGCUAAUGUGUAAAUUCACCAGACCAGACGCUAAAUGUAAAGGCUCGAGAUCCCAAGUAUUGCUCAAGCAGAUUCUCUAUUUAGUAACAAAGGGGCAAUCCUAGGCAAAUCAUCUAUUUGAUUAUAUUUUGUAAAUUAUAUUACGUGAUUGUUGACGUUGAAUAAGUAAGUGUUAAUUAACGUAUUUAUUUUGUUCAGUGUGGUUUGCAAAUAGAUGUGAAGUUUUGUGUGCUUAAUUAACCAUCUUGUAAAAUUUGAUCCAAUUCCUGCCUGAGAAGUUUGGAGUACGGUCGGAUUGUACCUUAAUCAAGU